rnacentral:misc_RNA from 1 species
AAGGAUCAUUACCGAAUUGUCAACACGAGUUGUUGCUGGUCCUCAAAUGGGGGCAUGUGCACGCUCUGUUUGCACAUCCACUCACACCUGUGCACCCUCCGUAGUUCUGUAGCCUGGGGGGCUCUGUUCCUCCUGCUGUGGUUCUGCGUAUUUACACACACACUGUGACAAAGUCUUAUGGAAUGUAUGCCGCGUUUAACGCAAUACAAUACAACUUUCAGCAACGGAUCUCUUGGCUCUC